GAUGAAGAACGUAGCGAAAUGCGAUAAGUAGUGUGAAUUGCAGAAUUCAGUGAAUCAUCGAAUCUUUGAACGCACAUUGCGCCCCUCGGUAUUCCGUGGGGCACGCCUGUUCGAGCGUCAUUUACACCCUCAAGCGCAGCUUGGUGUUGGGCGUCUGUCCCGCUCUCCGUAGCGCGGACUCGCCUCAAAGUCAUUGGCGGCGGUCGUGCCGGCUCCUCGCGCAGCACAUUUGCGCUUCUCGGAGGCCCGGCGGAUCGGCAUCCAGCAAGCUACUUUUUAUGACUUGACCUCGGAUCAGGUGAGGAUACCCGCUGAGCUUAAGCAUAUCAAUAAGCGGAGGA
rnacentral:misc_RNA from 1 species